rnacentral:lncRNA from 1 species
AGGACUGCAUAUACUAUGGUGAUCUCAUAAGAUUAUAAUGGAGCUGAAAAAUUUCCAUCACCUAGUGAGGUCGUGGUCAUCAUAAUAUUGUAGCGAAAUGCAUUAUUUACAUAUUUGUGGUGAUGCUACUGUAAGCAAACCUACUGUAUAGCCAGUUAUAAAGUCCUGGCACAUGCAAUUAUGUACAUUACAUUAUACUUGAUAAUGAUAAUAAAUCACUAAGAUAAUGGUUUAUGUAUUUACUAUACUAUCUGUUAUUAUUUUAGAGUGCAUGCCUACUUAUAAAAAUGUUAACUGUAAAACAUCCUCAGGUAGGUCCUUUUAGGAGGUCUUGUUAUCAUAGGAGAUGACGGUUCCAUUUGUGUUAUUGCCCCUGAAGACAAUCAGGACAAGAUGUGGAGGUGGAAGACAGUGAUGUUAAUGCUCCUGACACCUGGUAGGCUUAGUAUAACUUCUAUGUGUAUGUCUUAGUUCUUAAAAAAAUAGUUUAAAAGGCAAAAAUAGAAUUAAAAAGUAUAAAAAUAGGAAAAAACUUAUAGGAUAAGAAUAUAAAGAAAAAAUAUUCUUAUAUAGCUAGCUGUACAAUAUGUUUGUGUUUUAAGCUAUGUGUUAUUACAGAAAAGUCAAAAAGUUUGGAAACGUAAAAACUCUAUAAAGCAAAAAGUUACAAUAAGCCAAUAUUAAUUUAUUAUUGAAGAAAGACAAACUUUUUAAUAAACUUAGUGUAUCCUAUGUGUACAGUGUUGAUUAAGUUUACAGUAGUGUAAUGUCCCAGGCUUUUACAUUCUCUCACCUCUCAAUCAUUGGCUCACCCAGGGCAACUUCCAGUCCUGCAAGCUCUGUUCAUGGCUUGAAAGAAAAGGUCAAGUGUGGUGGCUCAUACCUGUAAUCCCAACAUGUUGGGGGGCAGAGGCGAGAGGACCACUUGAGACCAGGAGUUUGAGACCAGCCUGGGCAACAUAGCAAGGACCUGUGCCUACAAAGAAACAAAAUAAAUAAAUGAAUAAAAAGACUAUUCAAAUGAUGGAUAGUUUGGUUUUAAAAUAUGAAAAGAACCCAUAGAAACUCAAAUGAAGAAAGAGAAUCUCAGGAAACAAAGUUUAGCUUGGCAAUAAUUGAACCAAAAUCACUGGGGAUCCAUUCUUUCUCUUUUAUUUUGUAGAUGAGUUAUCUUGCAUAUAUUUCUGCAUAUUGCUUUACUUUUCUUUGCUGCAGCCUCACUUCCAACAUGAAAAUCUUAGAAUUGGCACCCUUAUAAUAUUGGUUUCCACAUAGUAUGUGGUUAAAAUGUCAUGAACUCUGACAUUAAUUAUCUGUUGUAUCUCCAGAGACUAAAUCAGUUUAUUUGAUUCUGUUUUUUAAAAUUAAUUUGUUUGUACAGUUUAUGGAGGUAUAAUUGACAUUCUAUAAAUGGCUAAUAUCUCAUAGUACAAUUUGGUAAAACAUAAUCUAUUUGUACCCCAGUAAAACCACCACCAUAAUGGAGAUAAUGAAUAUGUGCAUUAUCCUCAAAGCUUUCCUCAUGCCCUUUUAUAACCUCUUGCUUCCAGCUCUCACCUCUCUGGAUUCGUCUCUGGCAAUCUUUAUCUGCUCUCACGAUGCAUGACUGAAUUUUAUAUAAGUGAAAUCAUAUGUUUGCCUAAUUUCUUUCAUUCAUUUAACUAUUUUAACAUUCACCCAUAUAAAUGUGUAUAUCAUUAUUUAAUGCCUUUUUAACUGCUGAGAAAUACUGUAUUUUAUAGAUAUACCUCAAUUUGUUUAUCCAUUCACAUUUAGGCAAUUGGACAUUUGGGACAUUUAGGUUGUUUCUAGUUUCGAGUCUUUAAAGAUGAUGUUAAUGAUGUUACUGUGAGCAUUUAUGUACAAGUCCAUGUAUAAACAUAUGUGUUUUAAUUUGAUAAACACCUAAAAAUGGGAUGACAGAGUCAAAUGGUAGGCUUAUGUUUAACUUCUUAAGAAACUACCACAUUUUUGUUCAAAAGCAACUAUCAGAUUUUACAUUCCUGCCUGCAGUAAAUGAGAGUUCUAGUUUUUUGAUGUUUACAAUACUUGGUAAGGUCAGUCUUAAAAUUUUAGUCACUCUUACUGGUGUGUGUACUAGUAUUUCUGUGUGUUUUUUAACUUGUGAUGUUCAGAAACUGUUUCUAUGGUGAUUUACUAUGUGUACAUCUUUAUUAAAAUGGAUCUGUUCACAGUCUUGGCCAAUUUUUUUAAAAUAGGGUUGCUUGUUUUCUUAUUAAUGAGUUUUGUUUCAUUCUAUAAUGUUUAACAUUGAGAUAUAAGUCACGUGAAAUAUAAUUCACCAUUUUGAAGUGUAUAUGUCAGUGGUUUUUAGUAUAACUACACAAUAUUGUACAACAAUUAUGACUAUUUUAUUCCAGAACAUUUUCAUUAAUCCAUAAAGAAAUCACAUACCUAUUAACAAUCAUGCCUAAUCUUUUCCUCCACUCGUCUCUGGCAACCCAUCAAUCUACUCUGUUUCCCUAGAUCUGUAUAUUCUGAAAAUUUCAUAUAAAUGAAUUCAUGCAAUAGUGAUAAUUUCUGAUAUGGCUUCUUUCCAUUUAGCAUGUUUUCAAGGUUCAUCCAAAUUGUGGCAUGUGACAGGUUUUUAUUACUUUUUAUGGCUGAAAAAUUUUUCUAUAGAGUUUUGAGAAUUUUUAUAUAGCCUGGAUACACAUUAUCAGAUUCAUUAUGUGUAAAUAUGUUUGUAAUUAUUCCUGUCUGUUGCUUGUUUUUUAAUGUUUCUUACAGUGUCUUUAAUUGUUAUUAUUAUUACUAUUAUUAUUAUUACUUUGAGAUGGAGUCUCACUCUGUCUCCCAGGCUGGAGUGCGGUGGCACAAUCUCGACUCACUGCAACCUCCGCCUCCCGGGUUCAAGCAAUUCUCCUGCCUCAGCCUCCCGAGUAGCUGGGACUACAGGCAUGUGCCACCACGCCCGGCUAAUUUUUUUUUUUUUUUUUUUUUUUGAGACGGAGUCUCGCUCUGUCGCCCAGGCCGGACUGCGGACUGCAGUGGCG